rnacentral:rRNA from 1 species
GAUGAACGCUGGCGGCGUGCCUAAUACAUGCAAGUCGAGCGAACGGACGAGAAGCUUGCUUCUCUGAUGUUAGCGGCGGACGGGUGAGUAACACGUGGAUAACCUACCUAUAAGACUGGGAUAACUUCGGGAAACCGGAACUAAUACCGGAUAAUAUUUUGAACCGCAUGGUUCAAAAGUGAAAGACGGUCUUGCUGUCACUUAUAGAUGGAUCCGCGCUGCAUUAGCUAGUUGGUAAGGUAACGGCUUACCAAGGCAACGAUGCAUAGCCGACCUGAGAGGGUGAUCGGCCACACUGGAACUGAGACACGGUCCAGACUCAUACGGGAGGCAGCAGUAGGGAAUCUUCCGCAAUGGGCGAAAGCCUGACGGAGCAACGCCGCGUGAGUGAUGAAGGUCUUCGGAUCGUAAAACUCUGUUAUUAGGGAAGAACAUAUGUGUAAGUAACUGUGCACAUCUUGACGGUACCUAAUCAGAAAGCCACGGCUAACUACGUG